rfam:Triticum aestivum genome assembly, contig: Triticum_aestivum_CS42_TGACv1_scaffold_361237_4DS
CUACUACUCCCUCCGUCCGAAAAUACUUGUCAGAGAAAUGGAUAAAAAUGGAUGUAUCUAGAACUAGAAUGUGUCUAGAUACAUUCAUUUCUCCGACAAGUAUUUCCGGACGGAGGGAGUAGAUA